CAAUCAAGCGUGGGAUGGACAAGGCAGUGAGGCGAGUUAUCGAGGACGUCAAGUCGAAAGCGAAGCCAUGUAACGGGAUUGAAGACAUUCGCUCCGUAGCCACCCUCUCUGCAGGGAACGAC
rnacentral:ribozyme from 1 species